rnacentral:rRNA from 1 species
GUGUCAGCCGCCGCGGUAAUACGAGGGAUCCUAGCGUUGUUCGGAAUCAUUGGGCGUAAAGGGUGCGUAGGCGGCCAUUCAAGUCAGUUGUGAAAGCCCCGGGCUCAACCCGGGAAGUGCUUCUGAUACUGUUUGGCUUGAGUACUGGAGAGGAUAGUAGAAUUCCAGGUGUAGUGGUGAAAUACGUAGAUAUCUGGAGGAAUACCGGUGGCGAAGGCGGCUAUCUGGCCAUGUACUGACGCUGAAGCACGAAAGCGUGGGGAGCAAACAGGAUUAGAUACCCUUGUAGUCC